AUUUGAGUAUUGAUUUUGGGUUCUUGCUCCAACGGUUUGAAACUGAGGUUUUCAGCAUGUAAAUAUAAGUUAAUUAGCUGUGAAUGAACCUCCUUAGAUCAGGGAUAAGCUAUUUUAAAGCUUGAUUGAGUAGCCUAGUUCAUUAUGAAGCGAAUUUGGAGUUAAACGUGAGUUUUUGUCGCAACUUGAUACGGUUUGAGCUUUUCUUUUCGCAGCAGGUUUGCGAAUCAUAUUAAGCUAUCUGGGUGACCUGGGAGGCUGGUUUAGAAGGUACUCUGACCUAAGGUAAGCAAGAAUUUCAGUUAGGAAGCUGAAAUUGCAAGAUUCAGACUAAAGUUGCUAAUAUAUGAUGAGUUUGAUGCCGUUUCGAUUUCGUUCGCAGCGAGAGUGCGAUCGAGCCUUGGAUCAUCGUUAGUUAACUUGUGAGAGCUCUUGGAGACUUAUCUUGAGGUAUUACACUAGUCCCAAAACAGGGAUUUAAGGGGUUACUGUGUACUAAGUGUAAUUUAGGCCGAAAUCGGAUAUUCCGGUCGUUAUUUUGACGCGGUGUUGAUGUUUGUGUUCAGCAGGAUUGAGACCGAGUGGAGCUGAUCCUUGGGACUCCUUAGACUGAUUUGGAGCUUCAUAAUAGGUGGGUCGGACCUAACCAGAGCAAGUGGAGCUCCCCUAUGUUCUAUAUGUAUCUAUAGAAUAGCAUAACCGCAUAGGUGCAUUGAGUGCAUAUGUGAUUGAUAGAGAAUUGGGAACAUAUCAUCGUGAUGUGUGACGCUUAAGUAGAAUGAAAUCUCUAUAAAGUAGAGAACAUAUAUACAUGAAAGUAUUUAUAUUCAUAUUCAAUACAGUUAGAGAACAAUGAUAUUCUCUUGACUCUAACGUAGAAAAUUAUGACAUGCUCAUGACUAUGUUGAUAGUGCCAUACUAAUGGAAAGAUUAUAAUGCCAUGUGAUUUAACUUUACCCUUACAUGUUUACAAUCUAGUGGAUACUAGCUCUUGUUACUAUUUGUGUAUUGAAAUUCCGAUCAGAGGAUCGAGGGUAAGAACCUUACAAUGAAAAUAUGAAAAUUGAGACAUGUGGAUAAUGGACUUUGCUUGCUUGCCAUCGUGCUCAUUCGCACACGCUUGUGAGGGUAGCUCCCUACAAGCCGGCACUCCGGAGUUGGCCUACGCGACAGUUGCUCGCCCGUGCGGGAUUGGGUGCCGAAGUGGAUUGCCGUGGGGAGUGUAUACUACCACGGGGCCAUUAGGCGCGGCGCAAGCUGGACUACCUUGAGUAGGUCCUAGUGAAUGAAAAUGAAAGUGAAAAUGAUAAUGAUAGUAAUGAAUGAGUAUCAGUUGUAGUGUACAGUAGUACUUACACUUCUGUGAUUAUGUUUAUGUUCAUGUUUAUAGUAGUUGCGAUACUUCUAUUAUUCAGUUGAUUCAUUACUGCAGAAAUCAUGUUUACAUGUUGAAUACAUGCCUGUUACCGGUUAGCACUGCAUAUUUCUAUAUCAUGCACUUAUCACUUUUACUUACUUUCAGUACAUUAUGAGCCUAGUGGUGUAAUUCGCCGAGGCUGGCGGCUUACCCACUGGGAACUAUUGUUAAUAGUUCUCAUGCCCUUUUUAUGGUUGUUUUUACAGAGCCAUCUGCAGGAGAGGCUAGGGAUCGUGGCAAGGGAGUCGCGUCUAGCUAGACCUUGCUAGAAGCGUGCUAGUCGAUCACCUUGCUACUCUGGCUACGGCCGAGGGUGAUGUCCUUUGUAUAGAGAGACCACCAUUGUACCUAUUUUGUAUUCUCCGUGCUGUAUAUUUACUGUUGAUCCCGAUGUUUUUGUUGUGAUACUUGCUCUUUAGUCGAGAUUUUGGAUUGUACACUCUUUGUUCUUUUACUGACAGUAUAUCGAUUUGUGCAUUGCUCUGAUAUCAGGAUAGGACUCUCUUUGUUUUAUUUCCUAUCGACUGGCUUUCUUCGUAGACGUCUUAUAUACUGCAGGUGUAUGGCGGGUCUGUGCACGUGCCGGAUAUGCUUCCGGUGGUACCCGGGCGUGACAUGAGUCAAUCAUUCGCGGAGUACCGCGCAAAGGCAGGCUCGAGGCGAAGGACGUCUCACUUGCACCUCAGCCUUAAGUCCACUCAACUAGGAUAUUAUUAUAGCUCAUAAGUUUAUUACCCAAUCACUUGGCUAACCCAAAGGUUUCGCACUCAACAAACUCACCAACUCAAAAUCCCAAUAAUCGGGGAGAUGCUCGCUACACCCGAUGGGACCGUCCUCUGGGGAGAUACUCGCUACAACCCAGUGAUGUCGACUCCGGAGCACAUCGCCCCAGGGGAAGCUACCACAACCUCGAGCAAGGACUAAAGGUGAGUAUGAUCAAUGAUCAAAUCCAAAAUCUUGAGGAUGUCAAGUUCAAUCCAUUCCUUAACUUUAGGAAGACUAUGCUCAAAUGACCCUAACUCUAGGGUUGAAAUGUCAUAAUAUUUCCAUCAUUCCUUUCUUUGCAUUCUUUACUAUCACUUGUGUCAUAUACACUGCUAUAUUCUUGGACUCAUGCCAUAUUUGUUUUCUAAGUGUUCAACAUACCAUAAGUGUUUCCACUAUACUAAUCGUAUGCCACUCGAUCUAAUAUAUAUAGAUUGUCCACGUCACAUGUCAUAGUUCAUAUGUCAUUGUUUUUCAAUGUCGAGUUCUCUAAUUCACCUAGAGUUUAUCGAUCCAAGUUCAACAUGCAUGUGUCAUUUAACAUAAUCCACAAUAUGUCAAUAUACAUCCAUCUAGUAUAUUCUACAAUAAAUCAACAUGCACUCAUUCAUCAUAUUCCACAAUAUGUCUACAUAUAUAUGCCAACCAUUCAUAUGCCAUCCAACAUGUUCCAUAAUUUAUCAACAUGCAUAUUACCUCUAACAUAUUACUAUAACAUUAUUUUCAUGCAUUCAUGUAACAAUUAACUCAUGCAUUCAUUUAGCAUUAUUUAACUUGCAUCUUAUCAUUAUGCAUUUCUACUUGGCAUUUACAUUAACAUGCAUCAUUUUCAUACUUCAUUUACAUCUAUAUGCAUCAACAUGGAUUCUUAAUUUGCAUAGACAUAAAGGCGACCUAGUCGCUUCGGUAAGCACAACCCACCUUAACUCGCGUUCCGAUUGCUUGUAGUCACUUGCAAUCGGCCUCCCGCAGCACCCGGCACCCGGUUUGGCCCGAUCUCUCGCGCGACCACCCGAACGGCCUCUAAUCCACGAUCCGAAAAUUAAGGGUCUUCGGUUAUGUGCCACGAUACUUCAAAUCUAUUUCCACGAUUUUACGAUGUCGCCUCGGCCCUCCCGGCGGACCCGAAGCCUAAACGUCCAUUUCUUUAAUAACUUUGUAACGGCUUGUCGGAUUGCCGAACCGUCUUCGCCAACGCGUUCGUUUACCUAGCAAUUUGGUUUACGGAGGGUCAAAUGAGAUCAAACCCAUAUAUUUUACAAAACUCCAUUUGGAGCCCUAACAUACAAUUAACCUCUACAUAGUCCAAAUUAAAUAGAGAGAGCAUGUUUAGAAUACUCAUUAGAGGCUAUUAGAACACUUAGAACUAAGGAUUAAGCCAAAUUCUAAAAGCUUACCUCAAUGUGAACGCCGCGACGAAAACACGCCGCUCCAACGGGCGCACGAAAGCUCAAUCCGUCGCCUCCAACGCGUUCGCAAGCAUCUUCUCCACCAACCCUGCGAAUUUGAGCGAGAGAUAUAGAGAGAUAAGAGAGAAAUCUAGAGAGAGAAAGGGAGCUUUCUCUCUCCCCACCAUGUAUGCGGGUUGGUGGUGGCGUGUAUGGUGGUCGGCUGAAGGAGAAGAAGCAAAAGCUUCUUUAUACAUUACACCCCAAAACACUAUUCACUCCAGGACAAUUUAGCAGUUCGGAACAGUUGGAGCCCUUCUGGAUGUCCGUUUGGGCUCAAAUUUGACAGACAGGCUCGGUUUAACGUACUGAGUAAGAAUAUAUCUUAAGUUUUCAGUUUCGAUCUCGUUUGGUCACUGAAAACUGUACCGAACUGUAAUCUUUAUCAGAUAGCCGUCGGAUUUUAUUUCUAACUCUACGGGUGUCAGAAAAAUAUGAAACUUCAAAUCUAGCCUCAUAAAAAUAUUUCUGAUUUAUUCUUCAAUUUUCAUAAUUUUCUGAGACUGUGCAUUUUCUGCUAAUUUAUCUGUCCCGUUUUCAACAGAAAAUUCUAAAUCUUCUGUUUUCAUUCCGAUUUCAGCACAAGUCACUUCUGACUUAUGUUUUACUUCUACAAAUCCAAUAAAAAUAGUUUCUCACACUAUUUUUAUUUAUUUUUAUUUUUACACCAAAAUCUGGUAUGUUACACAAAAAUUCACGAAUUAUUUCGAAUUUUUAGGAAAAGUGCGUAUACGAACAAUUUAAUUUGUUAUUCAAAAAUUCGCGAAUAAUUCGUGAAUUAACUAACAAUGAUCAAUACUCUACAAUAAUACUUUGAGGUGUAGAAAAUUGAAUCCCACACCUCCCACAUAUGAGAAUGCUGUUUAUACCAUCUAAGCUAUAACUCCCACUCUUCUAAUUUUUCCACAAUAUAUGAAUUAAUAACAUAUAUUAAUUUUAAGAUAUCAGAAUCCGAAUUCGAAUCCAAAUUUGAAAUAUUCUAAUGCAUUCGCAUCCGAAUUCGAAUUCGAAUUCGAAAAUAUUGUAAAUAUAAUAUCCAAUUUUAAACCCAAAUUUGACUGAAUUUAUAAUUUUGACAUCUGUAUUUGCAUCAGAUUGCAAAUUAGAUUAGAUCGGACUUUAUUCUAACCACUUUCACCCCUACUCAUUGAAGAGAAAAAUAAAAAAAUUGGGGACCUCUCUAUUAAUCUUAUGAGGACUAAAAAUUAAAUCUCACAAAAUAUAAUAAUAUAAUAUAAAAUUUUAGAUCAAAAAUAUUGAUAUAAUUUUAUGUUAAAAAAUUUUCUAUCAAAAUUUCACAAGUUUUCAAUAUUUCUACACUUUUAAUCUUACAAAGGGCUCACCGCGACCAUUAAAAUUUUUGAUUUUGAGCCUCUUCAAUCACUAGAUAAAUUAUAUAAAAAAAGUUGUGAAAUUUAUUUUUAGGUACUUUAAAUACUUUAUAUCAAGUAUAACAGAACCGAUUCUCGAUUCUGAAGUUUCAGCAUUGAAAACAAUUUGAUAGCAUGGAUACUUCUGAAAGCACACAAGCCUAACUCUCUAGAUAUUAUUAUUAAUUAAACAUCUAUAUCUAUUUAUGCCUUUUAUAUCUAUACCUCUAUACCUAUACCUAUAUAUAUACAUGAUAUCUCCUAAAGUUGCCACAUGGCAACUUUUCCUUCGUGGCUGAAUGUGGGCUCCACCUCGAACCAGCUCAAGUCCUUCCUCUUCCUCUUCCUUUUCCUUCGGCUGUUAUUUUCGUUCAACAGCAAGAUGAAUCCCACCCCUCAUUAUUGCUUUUUUUAUUAUUAUUGUUUACUUUUUUUUGUAGAUAGUUUCUAUAUUUUUUUCAAUUAUUUAUCCGUCGCAUCGCACGAGUUACUAAGCUAGUUAUAUAUUAACUGGCUAGUAUUUUAAGAGUAACAAAACUAUAUUUCAUAGGAUUAUGAAAUUACAAUCUUAAUGUGUGGAAAAGAUCGGUGCAGCUGCGCUCCAUUCUCUGUAAAAUUUCGUUUGGAAAAAAAAAUUGCUUGGCUAUCUGGGAGAUGAUUAUUUUUCGUAAUGAAGUUGCCAAUCAGAAUAAGAACUCCAAGAAGUUAUGAGAAUAAAAUCAUGCAUCAAUGCCAGAACCAAUUUCUCAAGAUAGAAGUUAUGAGAAUCCCAGCAUCCUCCUUCGCUAAAGCCACCUGUACCCUUUGAAGUAGUCGUAAAAAUCCUCCGAUUGAGACCACAGGAAGGGGCCAAAAAAAAAAAAAAAGUGAAAAAACUUAUAUGAGACUAGAGGAAGAAAAGAAAAUGGUGAAAAUGCAAAGAUUUUAGGAUGCGUUUUAUAAGAAAAAAUAAUUUUUUAAUAUAUUUUUGUUAUUUUCAAGAGAAUGAAUGGAAUAGUGACGGAAUUCUGAUAAAAGAGACUAAUUAAAUGCAUCAAUCUGAAAUUUUAAGGAGGCAAAAUAUAAGUUCUUUAAAGUCAAAAGAAAAAAAGUAAAAAAAGAGUAUUUUUAGGACAUAUUCCUCUACUGAGAGAAAUAUAUAUGCAUUGUCUUGAUCUUAGAGAAUUUUCUGAGCAAACACCAACUAAAGCAAAUCCUCCAAAGUAAUUAAGCAGUAAAUUCCAAAUACUUGAGAUUCUCAUAUUUCUGUUCUGGUGGAUUAAUUUAUUUGAUUGCGCCAAUCAAAAACUAAUUUGCCCAAGGCCUGCAUUAUUUAAUUUGGCAUAUCAUAAGGUUUAUAUAUAUAUAUAUAUACACACAUCAUUAUUAUAGCAUUAAUUAUAUGAGAGGGAGCUUAAUCUUAUGAAGUAACCAAUUAUAUAUCCGUUGAAGUGUCCAUUAACUAUGAAAAUAUAAAAAAUACUGUUAUCUAUCAAGUUAAGCUUUAGAAAUUAAAUAAUGUUCAUUUCAAAUUCUUUAAUAUAGUAUCAGAGUUGGAGGUUCUGAUGAUUUCCUUCCAUUUAAUUCAAGUCUACGUCAACCACGGAUGUGAGAGAAAGUAUUAAAUAUAAAAAUAUAAAAAAUAAAAAAUAUAAUUAUUUUUUUAUUUAAUUCAAGCUCGUAGACUUAUUAAAAAAUCUCAAGCCCAAAGGUGCUUCAUUGUUUAAAUAGUUUAAAUUUUUGAAGAAAAACUGUUUCUUCGUGUUAUUAAAUGGCAUCAUAAUAUUGUAACUUAGAAAUUGCUCUCUUCCAUUUUUUGGAUUGCCACAAACUAAGUCUAGUGGUAACUUAACUUUCUGUAAAUUGUUGUGAUUAUGCUCUAGCUGUCGACGGAGUCAAUUACAAAAGAAAAAAAAAUAAAAUUCACACAACGUUAAUUUACAAAUAUAUUUACAUUCUGUUUCGAUGUCGGAAUAAAUUAUCUAAUGAUAUUCUAUUUAAUUUUAGUAUAGUCUAUUCCGAUCGAAAUUUGAAAGUAUUGUACGUCAAAUAUCUAUAACCCUUAUGAAAGCCCGUGUUCUCUUUGUCCACGUGGCAAUAUUAGCUUAAUUUAACCUCCUGUGAGUCCUACCUGUCAUUUUAAAAUACUCUGUUAAUUACUUAGUGGGUGGGACCCACCCAACCAAAUUAAUUUUCCUCCCCUACUCCGCUUCCCAUUUAAUUUUCCCUGCUUCCUUUGCUCCCCCCUCUAGACGCCGCUCCCUACUCCGACUUCCUUCGCUCGCCCCUCUAGACGCCGCUCCGAUUCCAGUUCCCUCUCUGGACGGAAUGUUGGGCCGAGUUCAUGGCUCGCCCCUCUAGACGCCGCUCCGAUUCCUGUUCCCUCUCUGGACGGAAUGUUGGGCCGAGUUCAUGGUCGCACCUUCUUCCCGUCACGCCCAUUCCCGUUAGCGACGCUUCGUUUCGUUCGCCUCUAGAUGCCGCUCCGACUCCUGUUCCCUCUCAGGACGGAAUGUUGGGCCGGGUUUAUGGUCGGCCCUUCUUCCGGUCGUGCCGUUCCUAUUAGCGACACUCCGUUUCGGCUUAUUCAUCCCCUCCGAUCACGAAAAUGAUUCGGAUUCAUUCUCUGUGGUCCCUUCUUGCUGCCUAUAUAAUAUGCCUUUGAAAAAAAUUUCUUUGCAGCAAAACAACUCUAUUUCUCUCCUGAUUUUUUCUAUCUCUGAUUUGGUAGCGAUCGAUGGUAUAUAUAUUUUUUGUUUCUUCCUUAUGGCUCUUUUUUCUAACACAAUUGGAGCUAUUAUUGAAUACCUUUAGCAUAUUGUUUGCAAUGUGUUGUGACAGUUUGAAAAUGGCCGAAAAGAUUUUUUUUAAAAAAAAAGAAAACAAGAAAGGAAGUCGAGCUCAAAUUGCAUCCUGUCUGAUUCUUGCUUUGGGGCAUUGUGAAAUUUUCAGGUAUCAAGACAUCUUUACAGCCUUGGUGUUAUUCCGAAGGAUAAUGAUGCCUGCCGAGGUUCCUUCACUGCUGAGGAUGGUCGGAGUUUACUGGACACUUUCCUCCUCUCUCAGGUUGACAACUUUCUAGAAUUGGGAUCUAUUUCUGAUUGCUUUUGGAUUUUAAUGUAAUCUUCUACUUUACCAUCAUAGUGGGAAUAUCAUGCUUGGAGGGGUUAGCUUGAAUACGAUGUCACUACCUGCGAAUUUAAGGUGCAUUUUCAAGGCUUUUAAUUGACGCAUUCAGUCUUCCAGUUUAGUUUUUAGGCUUUUAGCACAUUCUCAGAAUGACUCUGUCACUCUGCAGGUUAUCAGUGGUAGAAAGAAGUUUAUUGUCCAAUUGAAUAACAGAUGGAAUGCACAAUUUCUUAAGAAAUUUGAAAACAACUUUCUUGAACCGUUGGGAUUUAUAAAGUCAAACUACAUGAAAAAUUGCAAGGACGAAAUACUCUUCUGUGUUUGCCAGGGAGAAAAGGAGAGCUCUGAGCAACUACCUUUGACAGUGCUACCUAAAGAUGGAGUUCUGAUCAUUACUAAUGUAAGUAUGAAUCUCCGGUUCAUACAAAUUAAACUUAAACUAUGUGCAGAAUACUUUUUGAGUUGUGGUUAUGAUUGGUCCAUGUCUUUUUGUCCAAGGGGAAUCCUGUCGAGUACGGUCAUGUCUACUUGGUGCCUUAUGUUAGCCACCAGUUACCGCUGUUUUGGAACCGAAAGAUAUUAGGAUUAGUCACACAGAUUGCUGUUGAAGUUAAUAAUUCCUCAUUUCGAGUUUUCCUUGACAAUGCUUCUACAACUUCUGGUCAUAUGCAUUUUCAAGUAGUCUUGCUGACAUUUUUUAUUUUUUGUACAGCGCGCAAAUCAUAUCCAUAUCUGUCUAUUAAACUUUUCUCCUUAAUUUCAUAUAUGGAUCUCAUAAGCAUAAGCCCACCUAUAUAUGCUUAAUGUUAUGCUUUUUAACAACUGGUUCCAAGUAGAGAGACUUUGUUUGGAGAGCUUGACAACCGUCAUGUUAGACCGGAGUUUUUUUUUGUCUUGAUUAUGCUUUUUUAGUGAGGCCUAGGUAUCUUAUCUUUGAAUUUCAGCUCCUUUGUUUCAAGUGAUGGUUGUAAAUGUUUGCAUGUCUCAAUGUCAGAUUUUUAGGAAACUAAGGAGUCUGUCUUAUGGCCUUAAUAGAGGCGACAUGCCUACAUGCCUACACAUAAUCCUAGAUGUUGGGUAUGAGUGAAAUAGAAUAAAUUGCAUGCUGCAGAGGAAUUUUAGGGUAGCUCAAAUAACUAUAACUAUGUGGGAAAGUUAAAGAGUGAUGAUGUUAGAUGAUUGUGUUGGCUUAAUGGGCAGGAAUUUUGAAAGAUUUCUUGAAAAAUAUGAGAUACAAUAUAUUUGUGGAUGUAAAUUAAAAAUUGGAAUGCUCUCUAACGCAAACCUCCUCCCACUUUAUGAGUACCACAGGUCUUCUAGCCAUCUUUUAUAUUUUAAGGUUUACAAUUUUGAAGUUGUCUCAACUAUAUUUUUCCUACAUUGAUAUCGGAUUGUUUCACAUGGGCUUAUUUGAGCUUAAUCGGUAGUGAUUUUAAAUGUGUUCACUUCUUGCGGUUAUUAUAAACCACAGGUUUUGUAUCAGGAGUCCUCUGACCAAACAUUUAUCACAUCAGUGAAGUUGACAACCUAUCGUUUUCUUAUGUUGUUUUUGUUUUACAAAUAUGAGUAGAGGGCAUUCAAUCACAUAGAUUAUGAAACAAUUCUAUUUUUUUUUCUGUGUCUGCAACAUUUCUUUCAUUAUUACGUUCGCUGCAGUUUGGAUGACAAAGAUGCAACAAUGGUGGAUUGGAAACCAAAUUCACUUUGUUGUUUUAAAGGAAAUAAGGUAGAUAAUAAAUUUGGUCUAAAAUCUUUGAACAUCUUUUAAGCUCCUCCAAACCUCAAUUCGUAUGUAAUCAUGCCUUACAAUCUUUCGGUGUUUCAUUUCUCUGAAAAACCAUGGGUACUCACUUGAUAUAAAAAUAAAAUCAUAGGGUACUAACUUGAUACAAAAAUAAAAAUCACUGGGUACUAGCUUGAUACAUUUUAAACCACAGAGUACUAAAAUGAAAAAAUACGAAACCACAUGGGAUUUUUGAAGUUUUUUCUAAAGUUAUUCUAUAAUUCUUUGUUAUAUAUGCAUGUUAAGCAAACAUUGAAAAGUUGAAGUAGGUGAGUUAUACAUAUUUUAAAUCUCAGUAGUUUUCUGGUACUUCAUAUAGUUUGAUACUCUUUUGAUAUGCUAUAAUUGUUACACCAAUUAUAUUUGAUGAUUGUUUUAUGAAAGCUAUUAGUAUAGCUGAGUUUUGCAUGAUAUGCCAUAUCUCUUCAACAUAGUUAAUUCAUUUUUGAAUGAUUAAUUUUUUUUUCCAAUCAUAAUGUAUGUUUUUUAAAAACAAUAUUUUAUUUUAUGUUAUUUCUAUAUUUUGUUGAUAUUUCAUUCUCUACAAAUUUUUACUUUAGUAGUAUCUACCCGGCGCAACGUGCGGGUCACUACACUAGUAUAAAAUAAAACAACACAUUUGGUCUCCAACUCAUUUUAAUUUUUAAAAUAAGAUAAAUAAUUUUGUAAGUAAAAUAUGUUAUCCUACCAAAUUAUAUAUACAAAGAUUUUCAAACAAAAUCACUUGGUAUUCAAAGUUUUAAGUUCGUAUCCUAGUUGAUUCAUAUUUUUCAGCUAAGUUUGUUUCUAAAUGAAAUAAACAAAACGGGUAGCAUGCUACCAUUCUCUCUCUCUCAACAAAAAAAAAAAAGAAAAAGAAAAGAGGUUUUCAAACAAAAUCAUCUAAACAAAAUCUUUUUCACAAUCAAUUACUUUGCUAGAAAGUAAAAUAGCAAACAAGAAAAGUACACAAUAUUUGCGCUUUAUCAUACGUGACAAAAAAUAUCUUUUUAUUCCAGUAUUUGGCAAUGGCAAGCCAAAGUGUUAGCUCAUGAGAUGAAGAAAAAUUUCAACACCAAAUUAAGCAGUGCGUUCGGCGGUGGCGUCGUCUCGGUGGACGAGAUAAGUGAAUCCGGAGGGGGGGAGGGGGGUGGAGAUGGUGAUCGAGCGCGGCGGCGGCGGGCCGAGCCACUCCAAAAUUCGGAGCCUCGGCGUCGACAGCUUCAGGUAAGCCGGUGCGGAGCCCGCGAGCUCCUGCUGCACCCGCACCUCCCUGACGCGCCCCCCCGCCAGCCCGACGUGCGUCCUCAGCUCGAAAACCUCGAGGAGCGGGCAGUUCACNCGCCCCCCCGCCAGCCCGACGUGCGUCCUCAGCUCGAAAACCUCGAGGAGCGGGCAGUUCACGUCGAGCUGGGGAGGCCCACAGAAGAGCGACAUCUCCAAACACUUGAGAGCCGGGCAGCUCUUCGAGAUCGCGUCCCCCGCGACGAGGCUUAAGUCAAGGUCAGCGAGUUCGAGCCUCUGCAGAGAAGGAAAGAAAGCGGUGGCGGGCCAAUUGAGAUGUGGUACUACUCUCGGGAGUUGGAGUUGGAGCACUCGCAGAUGCUGCAGGCUAAAGACUGCCGGGGGUAGGCGGAAGGAGCGGAAAGCGGGGAUGCUGUCGGUGAGAACGAGUUUCAGCUUCAGGUUCUGCAAGGUGGAGUAAUGGGCGGCAUAGUCGAUCCAGGAGCGGGCGCGAGCCGGGUCGGAGACGGCGUAGUCGGACGUGGAGAGGGAGAAGGAGCGGAGGGGGACGACGGGGUCGCGGAGGUGGAGGACGGAGUCGACGAAGGAGGGGGGGAGGCGGGUAGUGAAGGAGAGGUCGGGGGACGUCGUCCAGAGCGUCCGCCAUCGCCGCGAGAGGAGGGAGGUGCAGGCGGCAAUGCUGGUGGGAAGACAGGCGAGGAUUUCGUGGAGGAGAUGGUCCGGCAGACCGCUGAUGCAGUCUGCCUUCCUCGCCGCCUUCUCAUCCUCCUCCUCCUCCUCCUUCUCGAUGUGGUUCAGUCUUCUUCUCUUUGCUGCAGGUUCUUCUUCCAAUCUAUAAUAAUAAUCUUGAAAAAUAAAAAAAAUAAAACAGGAGUAAAAGAAAUAUAUAUAACAUACAUAUACGAGACUCGGCCAAGGAGUAAAUUAAGAUUUGUGUGUGAUGAUCAGAGGCCGUUCGUUUAACUGCUUAGACUAAAUCCUACCACCGACUAGAAUUUUUGUUUUUUUUGUUGAGGUGAUCAGGUCCGCUACUUUUAAAAAGAAAAUAAGUUAGUUAGAUGGAGCGACUCAUAAUCUUUUAAGAGGUAUUUUAUUCUACACGUAAAUUUAUAAAAAAUAUUUUUUAUUGGAAAAAAAAUUACAUUCUACAGUAUUUGAUUUGUAGGAAAAAAAAUUAUUUUAACCAUGGUAAAAUAACGGUUUUUUCGAGGAAAGGUAAUCGUAAUAAUUUUCGAUAUUUGAAGGAGUAUAUAAUAUUUAAAUAUGAAUUUAUUAAUUUAAAAUUUUAAAUUAAUUCAAAUUUUAAAUCAAAAUUUAUAUGUUACGAAAUGCAUAUGAAAAGUAUUUAUAAUUUAAAAAUUGAAAAUAUGUAAAACUUAGUCGGAGAUAAAUUAAUUUAGAAAAAUAUCAAAUAAUAAAUAAAAAAAGACCACCAAUAAUAAUUUAAAUUUAAAUUUAAUUUAAUUAAAUAUGACGUAGUAUAGAGAAACAUGCAUAUAUUAAUAUUCUAGUAUCGUACUACAACUAAUCUAUAUAACUAUAUAAUCGAGAGUUUGUACGGCGAGCUCCCCGCGUUUUGCGGGAGCUUCGCGAGAGAGAGAGAGAGAGAGGGAGAGAGAGAGAACAGAGGGAGGAGAGAGAGAGAGCAUACAGAGAGAUGGGGAGAGAGAGAGAACAGAGGGAGAGAGAAAGAGCAGAGUAGAAGGAGAGAGAGAGAGAGAGAGAGAGAGAGCUCAGGCUCUUUCUCUCUCUCUCCCUCUCUCUCCUCGCAUGCUCCCGCGAUGGGGACCGCCACAUGCAGCCCCCCCCCCCCCUCGGCUCUCUCUCUCUCUCUCUUCCCUCUCUCUCUCUCCCACCCCCACCCCCCGUCCUUCCCCUCUCUCUUCUCCCCUCUCUCCCUCUCCCCACGGUGCGCGUGACCCGUGCCCAGCGGUGCGGUCGCUCGGGGGAUUCCCAGCCCGCGCCCCCGCGUGCUUUUUUCCCCCCUCCUCCUCCUCUUUACCUCCCCUCCUCCCCACGGCUCUCUCCCACUCUCCUCUCCCCCCCUCUCCUCUCUCUCUUCUCCCCCUCGCCCCAGCGGGCGGCAGCAGGAGCUCGGGCGGGCGGCGGGCAGUGUAGCCGCGGCGGCGGCACGUGGGGCGGCGCGCGGGCGCGGGCAGGCAGCGGGCGCGCGCACGGCCGAGCACCAGGGAGGGAAGAGAGAAAGAGAAGAAAGGGAGAGAGAGAGAGAGAGAGAGAGAGAGAGGUCAGGGGAGAUAGAGAGAGGGAGAGAGAGAGAGAGAGAAUUUAUAAUUUUAAUUUUAAAUUUAUAUAUAAAUUUUAAAUUUUAAAUCUUAAAUUUAAUUUUAACUUUAUAUAUAUAUAUAUAUAUAUAUAUAUAUAUAUAAAUAUAUAUAUAAUAUAUAUAUAUAACUAAUUUUAUUUAUAAAUAUAUAUUUAUUUAUUAUAUACAAUUUUAUAUUUAAUUUUUCUUUUAUGUUUAACAUUUUAACUUAGAUCUUAAAAUAAAAAAUUAAAAAGAUUUCUUCAAAAAUAUUUUAAAAUUAUCCAAAUUUUCCGCUGCGGAGCGCGGCCUUCACUAGUUUCUAGACAAAGUUUAAAUUAUAUUUUCAUGUUCCUUUUCUUUAUAAGAUUAAUAUGUACUAAAAAAAAAUAAAAUCAAUAAAUUUUAUUUUAAGCCAUUAUAUUUUAAUAUGGCUAAUAAAAUAAUUCAGCCGGUUUGAUUAAAAUCGAAUCAUUUUACCGUUUAAUGAUUAAAUCACUACUUCAACAAUUCAAAGCAGUUUUUUGACUUUUGGGUUCCAAGAGUUAAAGCGAACUGUGUUAUAAAUUGGGUCUCGGACUUUGUCGAAAUGCGAGUUCAAAUAAAGACUUUCAUCAAUUUAUAUAUAUAUAUAUAUAAUAUAUAUAUUAUAUAUAUAUAUAUUAUAUAAUAUAAUAUAUAUAUAUAUAUAGAUAUAUAUUAUAAUGAUGCAAAGAGAAAAAUAAAACAUUGGGGUAAAAAAGUUGAGGGAGGUGGAAUAUUUGAUAGAAGCAAAACUAAAAUCAUUCUAUUUAAGAGAAAAUUUGUUUUCAAUUUUUGCCGUCAAAAUAAAAAAAACUUUUAAGAUGCAUAGACUACAAUCACCCUAAAACCAUCAAUCCACACAUCCACACAUUCUAGCUAGUACAUAGAAUUUAUGUUUGAAAAAAAAAAAACAAUAAUACCAAAUGAUUAUCUAUAAUAGGAUUUCUUUAUCUACAUCUCCAAAUUAAAAUCUAAUUAAGUAUGCGAAUAUCUAGAAAUGAGCCCGUUUUUUAUACUUUUAGAAGCACGAUGACCUCUGUGUAAUCAAGUCGUUAAUGGAUGGUGAAACUUCCGAAUCGACGAUCGCCUCAAUUAGACUUGAUCUAAAGUAUUUGAAAUACCUAAAAAUAAAUUUUAUAAUUUUUCGAUAUCAUUUACUUAGUGAUCGAAAGGACUCAAAAUCAAUAGGACAUUGAUAUGGCUUUAUGCAGUACAAAGAAUUUUUUAUCAAAAUUUUAUAAGAUUUGAAUAUUUCUACGCCGUUGAACUUACAAACGACUCAUCGCGACUAUUAAAAUUGUUAAUUUUGGGCCCUUUCGAGAAAUCAUAAAAUUUAUCUUUUAGAUACUACAAAUACUAUAGAUCUAAAUCUAACGGUGCCAAUCGUCGAUUGCAAUAUCAAAAACGACUCGAUAAUACCCGUGCUUCUAAAAACAUAAUACAAACCUAGCUAUCUAGAUAUUAUUAAUAAGCAUUACAUAUCAACUAUCUUUCAUAAGAUUGCGAGAUUACAAUCUUAAUGUGCGGAAAAGACCGGUGCAGUUGCUACAUUCUCUGAAAAAUUUCUUCUGGAAAAAAAAAUUGUUUGGCUAUCCAGGGAGAUGGUUAUUUUCCGCAACGAAAUUGCCAUUCGGAAUAAGAACUCCAAGAUGUCAUAUUCAUAUCUUUUUCCCAUAAAAUUAUGGAUCGAUAUCCGGACCAAUUUCUCAAGACAGAAGUUGUGAGAAUCCCAGUAUUCUCCUUUGCCAAAUCCGCCGAUGUAGUUGUAAAAAUCCUCGGAUUGAGACUAGAGAAAAAAACAUAUAUGAGAAUAGAGGACGAAAAGAAAAUGAUGAAAAUGCGGAGAUCUUAGGAUAUGUUUUAUAAGAAAAAAUAAUUUUUAAUAUAUUUUUAUCAUUUUCGAGAGUACGAACAAUAUAAAUAUUUAUAGAGAAAAUUUUAUGUAUUUUAGUCUAAUUUUGAUUUACUUAUUGAAUCUUUGGUACAUCCUCCGCUGAGAGAAACACGCAGUGUCUCGAUCUUAGAGAAUAUCUCGAGCAAAAAGGUAACAUCCAGUGAGCUAAAUCCUCCAAAUUAAGUAGACAGUCAACUCUUCUCAUAUUCCUGAUCUAGUGGAUUAUUUACCUCAUUGCGCCGAUCAAAAACUAACUUGUCCAAGACCUGUAAUAUUAUUUAAUUCGGCAUAUCAUUUCAGAAUAAGAAUAAAAAGGUUUAUAAAUAGUGUUUGUUAAAUAUAAAAAUAUAAAAAAUAUAGUUCUCGUGUUUUAACGAGCUAUUACGUCUCUGCCUUCUCAUCCUCCUCCUUGUAGUUAUGCAGCCUUCUUCUCUUUCUUCCCGAUUCAUCUUCCAUCCUAAUAAUCGUAUAACAUAUCCAUAUUAUAUAUGUAUAUAUAAGAGAAAAUAUACUCUAUUUUUUUUUAAUCUUUUUUAGUUAAUAAGACCAAAAUAAUUAUGCAAUGAUUAAAGAAAUAUAUUUGUUGAUGAUAAAAUAUUUUAAAAAAUUACCAAAAUAAUUUGUUUAUAAAAGAGCUAAAAUUUAGGGAUUUCGCCGCAUUUUUUUUUAAAAUAAAACGGUGACUCAUAAAUCGUAAUCAGAGGAAGAGAUAAACUGAUUUGGUUAGACUCGAUUGAGGAUUGUCGUAAGGAUUGAGAUUUUGACAGUACAAUUAGACUCUCUGUUGACGAUGUUUAUAUGUGUAAUUUAAUUACAUAAGCACUCGUCAAAUUUCAAGCGAAAAUGAGCUAAAACGGAGAAGUUACGCGAUUAUUAGUUUUCACUUAAGUGAAUAGUAACUCCGGUUUCCCGGAGAAGCCACGGAGUAGAGUUGGCUUUCGGCGCGUAUCGGACUCCGUUCAUAGCGAUCCAAUAGCUCGUUUCGAUCGGUUCAGCUAUUCUGGAACCAAUGGCACUGACGGAUUUCAGAUCCGAUGCACGAUUUUCGAUAAAAAGGGAUUUUAUCAAAAAGAGGGUUUCCGAUCUUUGCUAUUCGUGCAUUUUGAAACUCCUCGUGCUUUGUACAAGUGAUCUGGAGAUGGGUGAGAGAUGUUUCAAGUACCUACUGGUGGUAGGGAAUUCAAAUACGAGUUUGAAUUAACGGAUUUCGGGUUUCAACCUAGGCCUAUAUAUGAUAUGUGGAUUAGUUGGAGAGAGGGCAGGUUUUGUCGCUGAUCGGAGACCAAAUCAGACGAAACAAAAUGCUAGGUUCGAUGCACCCGACAUGCUGAACGCAAUGGUGCUGUUGGAUCGAAAAUCCGACGAACGGAUUUUCAGGAAACGCGAAAUGUUCGCUGAGGGGUCGAAUUGGCAAAGUCGGAAACUUCGCAAAAGUUGCGAUAUUUUAUGUACCGAAUCGCGUGAAACCGGACGUGGAGGGGUAUCCGCGCGAUUUACUCACGCUGUGAGGGACUCGGAUAGAAUUGUUGAGUCUUGGAGGACUAUUUUGCAAAUUGGACCUAUGUAAAUAGUAGUUACACUAGGGUUUCAUGAGGAAACCCUAGCUUUUGGCCUUCUCCUUAGCCGAACCUAACCCUAGCCGCCCCACCUGCAAUUCUGCCCUCCCCGUGCGUAUGCUCCGGCCGCCGGCGAUCACCUCCGGCAGCCGGAAUUCCCUACACCACCUCUCUCUCUCCCUCUCAGCCAACCACUCCCCCCGCAUCGUGGUUACGAACCCAGGAAGUCACCUAGGUCCGAGCACCAUCAUCCCCUGGUAGAGACCAACCUCCGGCACCGUCGCCGGACGAUGCCGCCGUCGGCGCGCGUCGCCGGAACCAGCAGAGCUAGCCGCGGCCAGCCUGGGCCAACCCUGGCCGAGCCGACUGCAGCUCGGUGCCUGCUUGUUGGAGCCGCCCUAGAUCGGCCGCCCCGACUUCCUCCGGCCUCUGGCGAUCUCCGGCGCACUUCCCCGUCGCCCCCGCGCACCUCCGGCCGCCGCUCGGGCAGCCUGCAGCUGUCCAGACCGGAUCGGGCCGAGUCUGGGCGCACACGACCUCCGCGCGCCGCCGCCGCCCACCGACGGACGCGCUGCCACCCCUUGGACCUCCGGCGACCUCCCGCUGCCGCCGGCGACCUCCCGCGUGUGUUUCCUGGCGUCCCCGACCAACGCCGGCCGCCGCCCGAAGCUCUCGCAGCCGCCCAGACCCGUGCGGGCCGAGGUCGGGCCCGCUCGGCUUUCAAGCACCGCCGCCGCCCACCGGGGGGUGCACCACCUUCUCCUCGACCUCCGGCGACGAACCAUCGCCGCCCCGGGCUCCUCCGGCCGCCGCUUCACCGCCAGCGCCCUUGAACCUGAAAGGAACUUGGCGAACUUGAUCUCCGCCGCCGCGCCACCGGCCACCUCCCGCCGCCGGCCAGCUGGUGCCCCGGACCCCUUCGACCUGCCGCACCCUUCCCCGGCCGGACCGCCCGCCGUCCGGCCACCGCCGGCCAUGCCCUAGCUCCUCCAAGCUCCGGUAAGCUUAGUUUAGUUUCAGCACACUGUUUAGGGUUCGGAUCGCGGUUCCAGCGAUCCGAGGGCACUCCGAUGCUACUGGAGGUGAGCAUGAUGAUACUGAGUUAGUGAGGAUCAUCGUGAUCACCUCCGUAGGGGUCAGCGAUGCGCCGGUUUGCGUGUUAGACGCGAUUUAGAUACCAUGCACGCUGUUUCGCUGAAGUUCGCUUCAUGCGCGUGCCCUCCACAGUGGCCGGAAUUGCUCCGAAAGGUGAGCACAGCCUCCGGCACGUCGAGACAUGUCAGUAGGUGUCUCGGUUUGGCUGCAUGACUCCUGGUUUGUGUAGACUGACCAUAAAAGCGCUGAAAUCGCAUGAAAUAAUGCGAUUUUGGGUAAUCGGGAGGGCUUUUAUGCAAUUUGAUUUGUCGUAGCUGCUGUUGGCAGCAUGGGUGAGCUGUGGGUGACCUCUGGACUGAUGGUCCAAGGCCCCGGACCUUUGCGAAGAUCGGAAAUGUAUUUCCGGUGCGUUUGUCGGCAAAAUCCGCCGACGGAACGCGGUUUUGGUUCGGAAUUAUUCCGACGGUGCUUCGUGAGUUAUUGUGUGGUUGCUGAGCCUCAUUGGCUGGUCACUCGCAUCAUUUCGAGAGUUUAGAAAUGACGGGUGAGCGACGGUGGGUUCCGGUGUCGAAAUAGACACUUCCGGGAACCCGGUUCGGAACGAUUAUCCGACGAUAAUCGUUUUGGAGUGAGUUAAGGUCUUUGCUGCCAAGUCACAUGUAAAUUGUAUUUAGUGGCAGCGGGUGACUCGUAGUACGAGUCGGUGAGUUCCGGGACAGUCCGUGGGUCCCGGCAGAGUCUCGGUGCGGUUUUCGGGACUUCCGGUUUGUUCGGUAAUCGGUUUUGGGAAACCGAUCUCCGUGGGAUUGUCUGUGGGUUGUGUAUUCAGGGGUUUAUUUGUGGGGUUAUGCUUUUAGGGUUUCUUAGUUGUGGGUUAGACACUAACCCAGUGGACCCUCCUUAGGUCCUGUUGACGUUCUUUUGCAGUCAGGAGACAGGCGCGACAGUUGUACAGGUGGGUACUUCGAUCCGACGUUGGUACAGUGGUGCACGCUCGGUGAUGGUUUCUUACCCUUGCUCUUUUGUUAUUAUCCAUGCUUAUAUUAUAUGUUGAGCUUUGCACCUCUAUUGUUUACAUUACACCCACGUUGUUUGAUUAUACUCUACUCAGAUGUUUCCAUGCUUAGUAUCAUGUGUAGGAGUAUAGUCUAUCUGUAUGUGAUACCAUGUUUCCUUGUUGCUCUACUUAGCUAUUCUGCAUACCCUGUUUCAUAUUUAUAGUAGAGCGAUUCUGUGAUUAUCUGUGAGAUUAGCGAUCUAGUCGGUCGAUUCUAGUAUUCAGUAUUUGUGACCUAUUCGGUGAGUUCCUCGACCUUUGUUGUCUGAUGACCGUUGAGGUCGGUAUACCCUGAGGGGUGGGAUUGUCGGUUAGUUGCCGACGGAUGAUUAUACUUUACUCAUAUCCUAUACUUGUGACAUGAUUGGUCGAGUUUCAUAUCCUAUACUUGUGACAUGAUUGGUCGAGUUUCAUAUCCUAUACUUGUGACAUGAUUGGUCGAGUUUCAUAUCCUAUACUUGUGACAUGAUUGGUCGAGUUUCAUAUCCUAUACUUGUGACAUGAUUGGUCGAGUUUCAUAUCCUAUACUUGUGACAUGAUUGGUCGAGUUUCAUAUCCUAUACUUGUGACAUGAUUGGUCGAGUUUCAUAUCCUAUACUUGUGACAUGAUUGGUCGAGUUUCAUAUCCUAUACUUGUGACAUGAUUGGUCGAGUUUCAUAUCCUAUACUUGUGACAUGAUUGGUCGAGUUUCAUAUCCUAUACUUGUGACAUGAUUGGUCGAGUUUCAUAUCCUAUACUUGUGACAUGAUUGGUCGAGUUUCAUAUCCUAUACUUGUGACAUGAUUGGUCGAGUUUCAUAUCCUAUACUUGUGACAUGAUUGGUCGAGUUUCAUAUCCUAUACUUGUGACAUGAUUGGUCGAGUUUCAUAUCCUGUACUUGUGACGUGAUUGGUCGAGUUUCAUAUCCUAGUUGAUCUGAGUGGUCAGUCCUUGUGGUUCAUUGAGCAGUAUUUGCAUAUGUUUGAGAGGAUGUCGAUGUUGUCCCAUCCUAGUUGACCUGAGUGGUCGGUUCUUGUGCUUCUUUACAGUUGACGACCUAUGCGGUCGAUGGGCCCUGGGGGGCAGGAUUGUCGGCUGGUUGCCGACGGUUGAUCAUUGAGCAUAUUGCAUUGAUCGCCCGAUACUCGUCGCAUUUCACGAACACUGGCGGUCUGAUCCACCGCAAGGAGUGUUCUUUUCCGGAAAAGUGGUUGAAUGGUGACAACCCGUGAGCCCUAGAGGGGUUAUAUGCACUGGAGAGUAGUAGUGGCACUGGCUUGAGGUCUGCGGUGCUGACCAAGAGAGCAUUGGUUUCAGAUUGGGUACUUUUGGACUUCUUGACCGGUUGACGCAUAUGUCUAUAGUAGCAGUCGUUGCAUGCAUACUUACAGUUCUUACUUUAUAGUUGUCUUGCUGCUAUAGUAGAUAUUCAUGUAUGCUUUCGGUUCCAGUUACAGUAGCGGUAGCCGUUAUUCAGUCUAGUUCUUACUUUCUUUCAGUUUAUUACUACUGUAUUCGGUAUAUCUGCUCUUUACCUUAUUAUUGUUGCUACUAUAUUUCUACUGACCCUUGUUGUUAUUUAGCUCUUCCUGAUCCGGUGAGUACUCCUCGCCUUCAUCGGCUUGCGGUACCCACUGGGAGGGGAGACAUGUUUACAUGUUCUCACCUCCCCCACUAUUUUUCAGGUAUCGCAGGCGAUGAGUAGUGGGACGAGACGUGAGGUACGUGUGUAGCGGUCGAUAUUGCUUCCGACCCAGGUUAUUUCGAUUUAGUUAUUACCCUUAUUAUUCUGUUGAUAUAUAGCUUAGUCGGUUUACAUGGUUCAAUUUUGUUUUAUUAUCUGAAUAUUUGAGUUUUCAGUUGGUUUUGGAAUGUAUUAAGGAAUUGUGUUUUUGAAAAAUAAAAGGUUUUCUACCUCUCGUGGUAGCGUUUUUAAAAGAUAAAAGUUUCCGUGUAGGGAACAGUUUUCAAAAGAUUUUCUGUGGUUUUGUAUCUUAGUAUUUCAAAACUUGUUUCCGGGUAGGAAACGUUUCAAAUGAUAGAUCUGGAUUUAUGUUUAAAACUAUGAAUACCGUCGUGUUGUGAAUGAUGAAUGUAUGGACGUCUGUAUGUGCAGUUGAGGUUGUAUGUUCAUAUGGUUGUGGUUGUAUUCUGGUUGUACUCUGGUUGUAUAAUUGUACUUGUGCGACGCCGUGCAAAUACAGGGGAGACUCUGUCCGUGUGAACAGUGGAUUCCCUGUAUUUGUGGCGGAUCUGACAUACUCUGGGGUCAGGUGUUUCAAAAAAAAAAAUUUAGUCGUUUCCGCUGUUUUUCCAAACUAAAAGGGGACCCCCGGGGCGUGACAAUUGUAGGGUAUUUACGAUAUUUAUAUUUGAAAGGGCAAGUGAUGAAAUUGCUCUUAUUUUUAAAUUGAGCAAUAUACAACAUUUACACCUUAAAGUGAGGUGUACAUCUUACACCCACUUCAUCACAAGGCUAUUAAUAUAUACUUUCGGCCUUUUUAAAUUUCGGUAUGUUGCAGAUACAUUUUUUAGCGGAAAAAAUUUUCAUGCUUAUCCAACUUGCGAAUCGGAGGAUAUUUUCUGUGAAUCUAUAUUUUAAUUCAAAAUUUAUUUAAUUCCUCAUUAUCUUUAAAACAGAAAACAAAUUCAUACUUAUCCAAAUUUUUAUUGUGAAUUUAUAUUUUAAUUCAAAAUUUAAAAUUUUGAACUAUCAAUAAAUUAUCUCAAAUAGAAAAUAAUUAACUAAUUUGAAAAUAAACUAAAUUUAAAAGAUAGAUUGAUUGAUAAAUAGAUUUAUGUCUCCAAUAACUACUUAUAUUCAAAUUAUUGAUUGAAAAUAAAUUUAAAAUUUGAAAUUUUAUUCAUAAAUUUAAAUAUGAAUUUAUUAAUUUAAAAUUUUUAAAUUAAUUUAAAUUUUAAAUCACAUUCAAAUUCAAACAAAAUUUGUAUGUUACGAAAUACAUAUGAAAAGUAUUUACAAUUUAACUAAAUUGAAAAUAUGCAAAACUUAUUCGGAGAUAAAUUAAAUUUAGAAAAACAUCAAAUAGUAAAUAAAAAAAUACCACCAAUAAUAAUUUAAAUUUAAAUUUAAUUUAAUUUAAUGUGUCGUAGUAUAGAAAAGCAUGCAUAUAUUUAAGUAUAAACUACUAAUUUCUAGUACUCCGCCCUCGUAGUUUUAUUUUUCUCUUUUAAUUAUCUCCUUUACUAAAUUUUUUCGUUAAAUCAUGAUGAACAGAAAAAAAUGAAAUCACAGGGUACUAAAUAGAACAAUGUGAGAGCAAAAAAUUUGAGGGGGAACAUCUAGGUGGAAUAUUUGAUAGAAGCAAAACUAAAAUCAUUCUAUUUAAUAGAAAAUUUGUUUUCAAUUUUUUGCCGUCAAAAGAAAAUACUUUCUAGAUGUAUAGACUACAAUCACCCCAAAGCCAUCAAUCCACACAUUCUAGCCAGUACAUAGAAUUUAUGUUUGAAAAAAAAAAAAAAUACAAUAGGACCAAAUGAUUAUCUAUAAUAGGAUUUCUUUAUCUACAUCUCCAAAUUAAAAUCAAAUUAAGUAUGGGAAUAUCUAGAUAUGAGCCUCUGAACAAUCAAGUCGUUAAUGGUGGAACUUCCGAGUCGACGAUCGGCUCAAUUAGACUUGAUCUAGAGUAUUUGAAGUAUCUAAAAAAUAAAUUUCAUAAUUUUUCGAUAUUAUUUACUUAAUGAUCGAAAGGACUCAAAAUCAACAAGAUAUUGGUAUGGUUUUAUGCAGUACAAAUGAUUUUUUUGUCAAAAUUUUAUAAAGAUUUGAAUAUUUCUACACCGUUGAACUUGUAAACGGCUCAUCACGACUAUUAAAAUUGUUAAUUUUGGGCCCCUUCAAACAAUCGUAAAAUUUAUUUUCUAAAUACUUCAAAUACUAUAGAUCAAGUCUAAUGGAGCCAAUUACGAUUCAAAAAAUUCCAGUAUCAAAAUCAACUUAAUAUUACCCGUGAUUCUAAAAGCAUACAAACCUAGCUCUCUAGAUAUUAUUAAUUAGUAAGCAUUACAUAUGAACUCGCUAGUAGUUCAAGAUAGAGUAACACAACUAUCUUUCAUAAGAUUACGAGAUUACAAUCUUAACGUGCGGAAAAGAUUGGUGUAGUUGCUCCAUUCUCUGAAAAAUUUCUUUUGGAAAAAAAAUUGCUUGGCUAUCUGGGGAGAUGGUUAUUUUCCGCAACGAAGUUGCCAUUCGGAAUAAGAACUCCAAGAAGUCGUACUCAUAUCUUUUUUCCGUAAAAUCAUGCAUCGAUAUCCGGACCAAUUUCUCAAGACAGAAGUUGUGAGAAUCCCGAUAUUCUCCUUUGCCAAAUCCGUCGAAAUAGUUGUAAAAAUCCUCAGAUUGAGGCUAGAGAAAAAAAAAAAAAAAGCAUAUAUGAGAAUAGAGCACGAAAAGAAAAUGAUGAAAAUGAGGAGGAUCUUAGGAUAUGCUUUAUAAGAAAAAUAAUUUUUAAUAUAUUUCUAUCAUUUUCAAGAGCAUGAACGAUAAGUAUUUAUAAAAAAAAUUUUAUAUAUUUUAGUUUAAUUUUGAUUUUGUUGGUGUAAAUAUUCAAAAAAUAGAGGUUAGCUACAAAAUAAUUUAAAAAUAUCAACGAGUCGAUCAAGCCGAGGCACGGAUAUCUCGCUCUCUUUAAGGAGAUUCAAGCCCUCUGCGGUUGGCAAAGCCUUUGAACCGAUGCAGCAGAGCACCGACUUGUCCCCUCCAGGAUACAACGGCUCGACCCUCGUCGUGUGGCUUCACCAACUCUGCACAAGUAGAUGAGCCCAAAGCUCCACCAAAAGAACACCUUUCUUUGACCUUCUCUCUCUCUCAAGUAUAAUAGAAAUAGCUUUAUAGUUUAUUGAGUUGUGUGUUAGAAUAGAGAAAAAGAGCCCUCUAUAUAUAGGCUCAUAGGAUAGGAGUUACUAGAAUUUAAAAAGCCAUAGGUUACAUAGCAUUUAGUUGUGUUCAUUGUGCAUAGGAGUUUAACGAAAGCAUAGGUUAGGUUUCAAUCAAAGUAAAGUUAUGAAGAAUUAAGAUUCACAUUAAAUAAUAAAAAUGUAACAACAUUCCCCCACUCAUUUUUAUUAUGAGAGUUUGAUGGUCAAAGAGAGAUCAUUAUACAUAAUGAAGGUGUGCUCUGCAUUGAACCUUCACUUAGUGAAACAGUAAUCUCUACUCCAGAGCCAGAGUGGUCUCAGACUUGAACUUUGGCUGCUUAGGGGAAAUAGAAAGUUACUGCUCACAUAUAACAAUCCAGGUGUUGACAUGAGCUUUAAUAGCCAGCACGUUACGGCCCUGUGCUGAUCCUGGUUUUCAUGAGCAUAUUUGAGAAUAAGCCCGUUCUCAUAGGAAGCGGCCCCACUUCCAUGCUCACAUAGGUGAAAUCCGUCAAGGGUGCUCCUGUAAUUCUGACACCCUGCUCAUAAGAGCCACAGAUUUCAUUAAGAGCAAAAGCUCAACCCUCUUUUCAUUACAGGAUGAAUGCACCCACACCAUAGGGAUAGGUAAAAAUGCGAUCACAUAGAUCUAUAUAUUGUGCAUUCUUUACGACCACCAUAUGAUUCGUUUUUCCCAUUGAACCCAAUUUUCAGGAUCUCUGAUCAUCGGGUUGGGUAUCCUCAUACGUGGUUCUUGAUGUUAUGGGCUUCAACCCUAUCCCCCUCGAUGUGUUCCAGAUCCUUUCUCUUCCCAAGGCCUUGGUUAAUGGAUCUGCCAGAUUAUCAGUAGAUUUAAUAUAAUCAACACUGAUAAUACCAUUGUUCAUAUAUGAUCUCACAGUACUGUGUUUUCUUCUCACGGAUCUGGAUUUACCGUUAUAAUAACGGUUUCUUACUCUACCAAUAGCAGCAGUGCUAUCACAGUGUAUUAACACUGAUGGAACUGGUUUUUCCACAAAUGGAAUCUCAGACAAUAAGUCUCUCAACCAACUAGCUUCCUCGCUAGCUGAAGCUAAGGCAAUAAGCUCGGCUUCCAUAGUUGAGUUAGCAAUGAUAGUUUGCUUUUUAGAUUUCCAACAUAUAGCACCACCUGCUAAAGUAAAAAUAUAACCAGUGGUAGAGAGAGAAUCACCUGAUAGGGUAUUCCAGUCAGCAUCACUGUAACCCUCAAUUACAGCAGGAUACUUCCUAUAAAACAAGUCAUAAGUUUUGGUACCAACGAGAUAUCUCAUCACACGUUCCAUGGCAUGCCAAUGCUCUGUACCCGGCUUGCUUGUAAAUCUACUAAGUAUCCCUACUGCGUAUGCAAUAUCAGGUCUCGUACAAUUAGUCGCAAACCGCAAGCUCCCAAUCAUACUAGCAUAUUCCUUUUGAUUCAAAAUUUCAUUUUCACUUUUAAUAGGAAACAAGUGAACACUCGAAUCAAAAGGUGUAGUCACAUGCUUGCAAUUAAGAAAGUUAUACUUUUUUAAAAUUUUCUCAACAUAAUGCGACUGAUCAAGAAAGAUCUCAUCUAGUGUUUUGGUAAUUUUCAUACCCAAAAUAUAGUUAGCCUCACUAAGAUCUUUCAUUUCAAAAUAAUGAUUUAGCAUAAUUUUUCUCUCAUUUAUAACAUUCAAGUUAGAGCAAAAAAUUAGCAAAUCAUCCACAUAAAGGCUAACAAUCACAUGCAACUUUUCAAAAGUUUUGUAAUAGAUGCACUUAUCACACUCGUUUAAUUUAAAGCCAUUCUCAAUCAUACAAGAAUCAAAUUUUUCAUGCCACUGUCUAGGUGCCUGCCUUAAGCUAUAAAGGGAUUUAUUUAGCUUGCAUACUUUAUUUUCUUGUCCAGGCUCUAUGAACCCCUCAGGUUGGUCCAUAUAAAUUUCCUCAUCUAAGUCACCAUUCAGAAAGACAGUCUUUACAUCCAUCUGAUGAAUUUGUAAGUCAUGAAUUGCAGCAAUAGCAAUCAAAACUUUGAUGGAUGUCACUCUUGUCAUCGGAGAAAAGGUAUCAAAGAAGUCUAAAUCUUCUUUUUGUUUAUAACCUUUUGCGACAAGUCUAGCUUUAUACUUGUCUACACUUCCAUCCGGUUUCAACUUCUUUCUGAGAACCCAUUUACAACCAAUUGUUGUACAGCCUGGAGGUAAAUCCACUAAUUUCCAUGUUUUAUUAGAAAUUAGAGAUUCCAUCUCAUCAAAUACAGCCUCUUUCCAAAAAAUUGAAUCAUUUGAAGAUAAAGCUUCUUGUAAAGAAAGUGGAUUUUCUUCAAUAUUCAUAACAACAUAAUCAGGGCCAAAAUCUUUUUCUAUUCUGUUUCGUUUACUUCUUCUUGGUUCAAAAUAUUUUCUUCUUGAUUUUGCACAAAAGAGUUUGAAGAACUCGGUUUAUUUGAAACACUUUUAAUAUCUUGACCCCCACUAUUUUUCGAUUUAUAAGGAAACUUUUCUUCAUGAAAAAUAGCAUCUCUUGAUUCAAAAAUCACAUUAUUUUCAAUGUCUAAAAAUCUAUAGGCUGUACUGUUUAAAGCAUAUCCAGGAAAUACACAAGUGGCAGCUCUAACACCCAAUUUGGGUCUUUUAGGGUCUGAUAGCCUCACAUAUGCUAGACAACCCCACACUUUAAGAUAUCCCAAAUUUGGCUUAUACCCUUUCCACAAUUCAAAGGGUGUCACCUUAGACUUCUUAUAUGGCACGCGAUUCAAGACAUAACAUGCAGUUAAAAUGGCUUCGCCCCAAAAAUUUAAGAGUACACCAGUGUCAACCAUCAUAGCAUUUGUUAGCUCAAUAAGUAUUCUAUUUUUUCUCUCAGCCACUCUAUUAGAGGCAGGUGAAUAUGGAGCAGUAGUCUCAUGGAUAAUUCCUAAAGACUGAGCAAAAAAGUUGAACCCCGUAGAUUCAUACUCACGACCUCGAUCACUUCUAAUUCUUUUUAUCUUUUUACCGAAUUGGUUUUCUACUUCACAGAGGAAAUCUUUAAAUUUUUCAAAAGCAUCACUUUUAUUUUUUAAUAAAUAAACAUAAGUAUAUUUAGAAAAAUCAUCGAUAAAAGUGAUAAAAUAUCUAUUUUCUCCACGAGUUAGAUUACCUUCAAAUUCACAAAUAUCACUGUGAAUUAGCUCAAGUAAUUCGGUACUUCUUUCAAUUCUCUUAUGAGGUCGUUUAGUGAUUUUUGACUUACUACAUGUUUCACAUUUGUCAAAAUCACUAUUCAGUCUGGGAAUUAAUCCUAAACUAUCUAUAAGCUAACAUAUCUGCUGCUUGAUAUGAACACAAUACGAGCAUGGCCAAAAUUUACAGAGAAGACUUCGUAAGCAGAAGUAGAUGAGCUUUAUUUAUGCAUGUUAGUAUUUGACAUUCCGUCGAUGCAUACACUUUAUCCUACAAACUUUUUUCAUUCUUCGAAUCACAUUAUGAUCAAACUCAUGGUCUGUUUAAGUAGCUUUAUAAGAAGAAAAUUGACAUCAAGGUUCUUCCUAACAAGGGUGUAUGUAAUACAUCUUUCAUUAUAAAGACCCUUCAGAAGCAAAAUCUUUAAUCUCAAACUCGCCUCCCUAAACUUAGAAGUAUGCAAAUCACAAGCAUAAUUACUUUUGUUUGUUCUAGGUUAGUAUAUGAUUUAACCAAGUCUCUAUCAUGACAGAUCAUGCCUUAUUGGCACUAGAGUCUGCCCACCAUCCUUCAGCCACGCUCAAUAAGAUAUGUCGGUUAUCAUCCACAAAGUGGAUCCUCGACAUUAGCUUAAGGUAACAGUUUUAUGUUUCCGGUAUUUGCAAAUUCGGAGCAAUAGUGCUGUAAGGACUGAGAUUUUUGCCGUUGUCACGCUUAAACUCUCAGUUACGAGGUUUUUGUGUGCAAUUUAAUUACAAAAGUACUCGUCAAGUUUCGAGAGAAAUCGAAGUUAAAAUGGGAUUCUCUUACGCGAUUCCAAGUUUCACUUAAAGGUGAAUAGUAACUCGAUUUUCCGUGAGAAGCCACGGUUGAAGUUGGCUUCAGGCUUAUAUCGGACUCCGUUCCUAGCGGUCCAAUAGCUCGUUUCGGAACGAUUCAGCUGUUCUGGAAUAAUGCGCUAGAUUUUGAGUUGGAAUGCCACGAAUUUCGAGAAAAUCUAAAAAAAUACAUGUUUUAUAUGUAUUUUGUGUCUAUUAUUCUGUUUGGAAUGAAAGGUUGGAUUUCGUCCGAAUCCGGGUGAGUCGAUCGAGGUUGAACCAAAUCGUAGCUUUGUUGUCUCUGAGGUGCUGAUCCAUGGUGGCAAUCCGGUUCGCAAAUUGACGGACGGAAUGUACGGAGAUCGCACGUGAUCGAGGAGAGGGUCGUGUUGGCAAAACGGUGAAUUUCGCAACAAGUCGCGAUUAUUUGUUAUGGUGUACGUUUCGCGGUGAAGAUCGCACGUGGAGAAUCUUCAUGGUUUUACUCAUGCUUGAGGGGACAGAAUCAAAUAUGAGUUUGAGGGUUUUCGCAAUUUGCACAUUAUACUAUAUUUUUAUCUAGGGUUUUGCAAUGGGAAAACCCUAACCCUAGACUUAGCCGCAACCCUACACUCAAUCGACUCCCUGCCCCUGCUGGCGCGGCGCCCAGGCGCGCCGAUGGGUACGGCGGCCACCGGCCGCCGGAGCACCUUCCUUUUCUCUCCCUCUUUUCUCUCGUCUCUCUCUCUCUCGCGGUUGUGAGAGCCUUGAAGACUGCCGCCACUCCAGACCCUUCCGCCGGUUGUCGGCCCGCUGCCCGGCGAGCCAUUCCCCGCCGCACCGCCAGCCGUGGCUAGCGACCGCCGGCUGCAGCCAGGAUGGCGCUGCUGCUGGGACAAGGGCUCCGCCGAGCGGAGUGAGCAGCAAGUUGGUCGCGCGCCUUGCCGCCGCCUGAGACUGUCCGCGCCUUCCCGGAGCCAGGUGACUCCCCGUCGCUGUCGCCGUCGCGAGGCGCCGCGCUGCCGCCAGCUGCUGACUUGCUGCCAAUGAAGGGAACUCGGCCCGAGCGAGUUGCAACUAGCUUCCCACCGCCGGACGCCGGCGCUCGCAGCCGCAGCGCAGCCGCAGGCACCCGAGGCACCCCUUCGGGCUUCAAGCGAUCCUCGCUGCGCCGUCUCGGAGUCCCAGGCGCCGCCCGUGGCCGCGAGGCUGCCUUGGAACACCGAGCCGACCUGAGUGCGGGCUUGGGUUGCUUCCACCGCCUGCCGCCGCGCUUCAGCCGCCUAACUGGGUGGCAUCGUGUUCCUACCUCCUCCGCACCCACCUGGCCCCGCGGCCGUCGCAUGCCGCCGGAGCCCGGCCGGAGCAGCUUGCUCCGGCCAAAGCCCGAAAUAGGGCUUAAGUUGAUGUGUUAUUGUUUCUUGAGCUUCCUGAGCUCCCGAUCUGUCGAAAGGGAGAAUGAUGAUUGUAGCAAAUUGAUAAUCAUCGUGUUACCUUUAGUCUCUGGGGGAGACUCCGAUGCCGAUAUUUCGCGGUGUCGGACCCUGUCGACGCCGUGUUUGGUGUUUGUUUGGAGACUUGCUCACGUUAUCCGGCGAUCGAGGCUGUGUUCUUGAUUGCCUCCAGGUGAGCACAGCGUGUCGUUGGUCUGUGCCGAUUCACCAUUGCUCACCUUACUUUGGGAGACAUGGUCGGAUCAGCCCUGUUUGGCGUGAUCUUCCCUCGACUGCGCGCUUGUUCGCAGAACUUCGGGUUGCCGCCCGCGUUGCCCACAGCGACUGUUGCCGUCCGAACAUUGAGCACGGCGCCCGGCACAUCGAGACGCCUGUCCAGUACAGUGUUCCGGCGGAACUUAGAGGUCCUCAGUUUGUGUUGGAAGAACGGAGUCAUAAGGAGUCGCACCGAUUUACAUAAAAUGAUGGAUUUUAUGAUAACAUAGGGGCUUUUGUGCCAAUUGUACACCUUGUGCCUACUGUGGACAGAUGUGUAUGAGUGUGUUUGACCUCUGGACUGUUGCCAUGAUCCGUUGCUUUUGCGAAAAUCAAAGAUGGUCAAUUUCGGUGUGUUAUUCGGCGAAGUUCGCGAAAGAACGCGGUUUCGGUUCGGAUUCUCUGACGUGUAUGUUGUUUGUGUUGGCUGUCUGCUCGCUGAGCUUGUGGUGGCUAGUCACCAUCAUCUAUUUUGUGGGAUGGUUCAGGUGAUGUAUGGGUGUAGCCGACGGUGGGUUCGGUGUCGAAAUUAGACACUUUCGGAACUGCGCGAUUCGAUACAAUUAUCCGGGCGAUAAUUGUGUAGUGUGUUAUCUUGUGUUUGCAUGCCAAAAUCCAAAUUGGAGUGUUUUGGAAGACAGGCGAUGUGAACACGAGUCGGUGUGAGUUUCGGGAAUUAGUGGUGCCCGACGCGUCCCGGUGCUGGUUUUUCGGAUUUCGGUGAGUUACGGUUAAUCGGUAUGUGGGAAACCGCAUCUUCUUAUGAAAUUGUUGUGUGGGGGUUGUGAAUACUGUGAUAUUAGUUGUGGGUUAGAUAUAACCCGGUGGCCCUCUAUAGUCUUGUCGACAUUCUUUUGCAGUCAGAAUGAUAGAACGCGACAUCGUUACAGCGUGCGGUACUUGACCGACGUCGGUACAGUGCCGUGGCACGCUUGGUGCAUGGUUUCUUCCUUACUCUUCAUCGUUGUUACGUAUCGCAUAGUAUAUUGAGCCUUGCACCUUGUUAUAUUCGUGUAUACUCUACUCGUUGUUUGCCACAUGCUUCAUAUCCUGCAGUAGCGAGUAGUAGUGAGUUCUAUCGAAAUGCGUAUCUGUUGACCUAGUUAGUUGGUUGUUGCAUUGCGUAUCUUUGACUGGUUGGUCGGUUCUCUAACUUGUUUCGGUGACCUGAGUUGCGUCGGUUUCGUACAUCAUUCGAUGACCGUUGAGGGUCGGAUAUACCCUAAGGGGGGUUGGAUUGUCGCGUUGCAGACGGAGAUUAGUGUUUACACAGUUCCACUAUUUGGAUCAUAUUGGACUAGUAGUCAGCAUUCGGAUGGAGUCUGGCGUUGAUGACCUAUGAGGAUCGUCUACCUGAAGGGGCUUGGAUUGUGCGGCUAGUGGCCGACGGUAAUUCAGGAUUCUAUUGAUAUACUCUGGUGGACCUAUUCGUCGUUCGUCGUGAAUAUGUGGUUAGUUGACUUUAGUAGUCAAUGCUUGUAUACCUUGGUAGCGAUGUUGAGUUGUUCCUCUUAGUUGGGACCUGGAUAGUCGUUUCUUGUGCUUUGUAUAGUUUGAUGAACCUAUUGGUCGGUGUUUUGCCCGAGCGGGCGGUGGUUGUGCGGCUGGUUUGCCGAAUUUGGCUAUUGUUCAUAUCCGCAUGUGAUCGCCACGCUCGAUGGUGCAUUUCAGUGACCAACCAGCGGGUGAUCCCCCGCAGGGGGGUGUUCCUUUUCCGGAAAAUGUGGUCGUACAUCCGACCGUGAGCCAGCGGUGUGCUCUUUGUGCUAGGGUUAAUGCAGGGGCGAGCAAGGUGUGCUUUUGCCUGAGCGUCCUUAGACCGAACACGGCGGUUUAGAUUGGGUAUUUGGACUACUUGUCGGUUGACGCAUAUACUAUAGUAGCAGUGCGUCACUUGUAUAUCUUCAGUUCUAUUUCGUUAAUUGUUGUACUAUAGAUCUUGUUACAUGUUACAUUCAGUUUGUUCAUUACAGGUAGCGUAGUUGUAUCUUUCUAUAUAUGUCUAUUCAUUCAUAUUAUUGCUACUGUAUUUUUACUGACCGAUAUGUUGUUUUAGCUUCUUCCUGUAUCCGGUGAGUACUCCUCGCCUUCAUAGAGCUUGCGGUACCCACUGUGCGAGAGGAGACAUGUUUACAUGUUCUCACAUCCCCCACCAUUUUUUCAGUUUACAGGCGAUGAGAAUGUUUGGGACGAGAGUGAGUACGUUCGUAGCGGGUCGGAUAGGAGCUUCCGACCAGCCUGUUAUUAUUUUAGUUUUAUCCUUAUAUUCUGUUGUAUAGCUUAUAUGUUUAUAUGUUUUCAGUUAGGAUGAUCAUUACUUGAUGUUUGAAUAUUGUGAGCUGGUUGAAUUGUGGAUUUUGUGGAAUUAUGGAAUUUGGUUUAUUGGAUCUUCAGUUUUGGGAUGUUGUUAUACUUUGGUUCUCGAAUUUGUAUUUAUCGGAGUGUACGCAUCGUGGUUUUCGUACCCCUCGGUAGUCGGUUUUCAAAAUAGAGUUUCUGUGUGGAAACAGUUUUCAAAAGAUUUUGUAAUGAUUUUCAUGUAUGAAUGAAUUAGAUUUUAAAAAGCAAAAAAGUUUCUGUUGUGGGUGAGCUUUAAAUUAGGAUGAUUGUUGUCUGCUGAUUUCAUCAAUCCAAACGCGUCUAAGGAGUGUUUAGAGCAUGCAUCAUUCUCUAAGGAUUGUUAGCCUGUAUGAAAAAUUGCCAUAACAUGAAUUGGUUGCUGAUUGGUAAAUGUAGGUUGUGGUUGUCGAUCCUUGUAUCCGUUGGUACGCGUGCAAAUACAAAGGGAGACUCUGUCCGAGGUGAACAGGAUGUGAACUUUGUAUUUGUGGCGGGUCUGUACUGUUCACGUGGCCAGGUUGGGAAAAAAAAAAAUGCACAUUUCGGACUCUGCAGAUUUCAAAAUGGUAAUGGCUUUUAAAAUCCAGUUCCCGGGGGUGAAGUAUUAAGAUGGAUCAGAGAGUGAACAAACUACCACCUGCAUUUGUACAAAGUUUUCAAACUGAAUUUGUUAGUUAUGAUACGCCGGGAUAUCAGCGGGAAGGCAUAUCGGUAUCGAUGCACAAGACCGCCAUACACCUGCGGUAUAUAAGGCGGUCUACAAGAAACAAGUCGAUAGGUGGAGCAAAAAAAUAACCUAUACCUAUCCUAAUAUCAGAGCAUAGUAAAAUCACAAAGACUUAUCAAACAAAAGACGAGAGUGUUCAGCAAAUAUAGUGUCAAAAGGAAGUAUAAAAAUGCCACAUCUGGAUCAAAUAAAUAGUAACAAAAGGUUAUACGAAAACAGUCUGCUACAAUGCGUAGCUCUCGAUAAAACUGGCCAUCACCUCGGCUGUAACCCGAGUAGCAAGGUGAUCGACUAGGCACGCUCCCAGCAAUGUCUAGCUAGACGUGACUUCCUUGCCCGGUCCCUAGCCUCUCUGUAGUGGCUCUCUGUAAAACACCACAAAAAGGGUGUGAGAACUAUAAACAAUAGUUCCAGAUGGCCGUAAGCGCCAGCCUCGGCGAACUACACCAUAGGCCACUCAUGAUUGUACUAAAUGAAAGCAAAGCAGUAAUUGAUGAUAUAUAAUUAGGCAAUGCUAACAGUAAUGAGAUGUAAGCAACUAUGUAAUCAUAGUCUCAAACAGGUAAUGAAUCAAACUGGAAUAAUAGAAGCAUAGGCAAUAUGAUAGCAUGAACAUAAAAUAAAUGUUAAGUAAACUACUAUACACUGUAACUGGUAAUCUUCAUUACUGUCAAUUUUCUUUAGCACUUUCUUUCAUUCUAAAGAAUCUUCCAAGGUGUCCAACUUUUGCGUCCGCCGCUUUUUUAAUGGGCCCGUGGUUAGUAUACAACUCACGGCAAUCCACUUCGGCACCCAAUCCCGCACUGGGCGACAAUGUCGGCGUAGGCAACUGAGGCGGCUUUAGGAGGACUCACAAGCGUGUGCGAGAUGAGCACAAUGGCAACAAGCAAUCCACAGUCCACAUGUCUCAUCAUCACGUUUUCCAAUUGCAAAGUUCUUCGAUCUUUGAUCGCGAAUUCUCAAUAUAAUAAAUAUUGGCAAUGACUAGAUUCACUAGAUUACUAAGCUUUUAAGAGUAAUGCUAAUUUACAAUAUGGAUUAGAUCUUUCAUUACAUGGCACUUCAACAUAGUGCAGAAGCUUGUCAUUGUUGUUACUUUACAAUUCAAUCAACGGUCAGACAAAUGUCAUUGUUCUCUAACCUAUUACAGGAACAUGAAAUAAAUUAUCUCUCGGUUGUUUAAUGAACUAAACAAGGAAUUACCUCUAUGCAUAAAUGUUCCCUCUUUUAUAGCAGUUUAUUUCAUAUCAUAUAGCCAACAUGAUGAAUGUUUCGAGUUCUAUAUUAAACCACGCAUUACACACAGUAUAUUGAUUCUAUAAUACAUUAUAGAACAUAGGGGAGCUUCACUUUGCUUAGUUAGGUCAAACCCAACGUAUCACUACUCAAACGCCAAAGAUGCUCCCAAACUCAGCUCAAACGGGUCCCUGGACCUGCUGAAAUUCAAAACAUCAAACCGCGUCGGAACGUUACUUAGUAAUCUAAUUUCAGCUCUAUGGCGCAUAGUUACAAGCUAAUAAGCUUUAAUCCCGGUUGGCUAUUUAAUACCUCAAGUCGAGUCUUCAAAGCUUCCGGUCAGCUAAAAUCACUCUUAAGAGUCGAAUCACACUCCGGUGCCGAAAACAACGUUAAAACGGCAUUAGAAUUUGCUUGUAUGCAAGCUUCUAUUAGUCGAAUUCUUGUAAUUUCAGCUCUAACAGAAAUUUUUCUUACGAAGAUGGAAACCUUCCAAGCUAAGCCCCUGGUCACCAAAAUAGUCCCAGUGGUUCCAAGAACUGCUGCGAAGGAAACAAGUUCAAACUGAUCACUUCGCUCAAUAAUCCACGUAUAGCUUCGCAUUAGAGUCAACUUCCAUAAUUAUCGAUUUUUAGCUUUAAAGCCAAUUUAACCUAGUCUAGAUGGUUAAUUUCACCAGCAAUUACUUAACAUCUAGCAUGCUUGGAAUCUCUGUCUUAACACAGCUGCCAAGUAAAUCCUGAAAUCGAUACUUAAAUCGACCAAUAUAUCUUCAGUCGUACGGAAACGUGAGCACAUUACUUCUCAGGCUUCCAACCGCAACCUACUGUUCAGGGUUACGAAAGCCGUUCCCGCAAACACUCUCUCACGAUCAUAAAAGGUCAGCGACACCUGCAACCCCGAAGAACGAUGCCGAGGCCGACGAAAAAUAAACGAUAAGUUCGCGAUUUCUUCGCUAGAGAGAGAAACCCCUAGUAGAGAGAGAGAAGGAUGGUGAAUUAACACCCCUCUUGAGAUUCGCAGCAUCCUACUGAGCUCCUGGGGUCUGCUGGGUGUGGGGAUAAUAUGGGAGUGUGAAAGACAAACAGCUUGCUGCACGCAGCUGCGCGGCUUCUGCUUGCUUGCUGUACCGGUAAGCAUUAGGCUGUACCGGUUACACCAAGGUGCAGAAAUUGCAGAUUUCGUAUAUAGCAAUGCACUUUCUCCUCUCCGGCAAUCCGAUUCACUCUCUAACUUGUCCAAAACGUGUCCAAGCCUUUUAGGACAUGAUUAGGAUAGUUCCACAACUCAUGCCACGCACUCGAACUCCGCAAUUUGCAAAAGUUCAGUGUAUUACAUUCACCCCUCCUAAAAAGGAGUUUCGUCCGCGAAACGAAAACAGUUACAUCAAAAUAUCUUCAAAAUAGGUGAGGAUAGUGUUCCUGCAUUACACUUUCCAAUUCCCAAGUUGCUUCGCGUUCAUCAUGAUUGCUCCAAAGUAUCUUUACGUACGGUAUCUCGCGAUUUCGAAGCCGUUUCACUUCUCGAGCUAGUAUUCUCACUGGAUGUUCUUCGAAGCUCAAAUCUUCCUGUAAAUCCACUGGAGUACUCUCCAAUAUGUGAGUUGGAUCAAAAACAUAUUUCCGGAGCGUAGAUACAUGAAAUACAUUAUGUACUCCUGAUAGAUUCGGCGGCAACGCAAGCUGAUAUGCUACGGGGCCUAUUCGUUCCAACACCUCGUAGGGUCCAAUAAAUCGAGGACUUAACUUCCCUCGAAUACCAAAUCUCUUAACCCCUUUCGUCGGUGAAACUUUCAGAAAUACAUGAUCGCCAACCUGAAAUUCCAAUUCUCGCCGACGUUUGUCCGCAUAACUCUUUUGUCGACUUUGAGCUGUCAGUAGUCGUUCUCGCGCAAGUCGAACUUUAGCUUCAGCCUCUUGUAAUACAUCUGGACCCAAGACUAAUCUUUCACCCACUUCACUCCAAUGAAGUGGUGAUCUGCACUUUCUACCAUAAAGGGCUUCAAAAGGUGCCAUCUGAAUACUUGCUUGAUAACUAUUGUUAUAAGCAAAUUCAGCCAUUGGUAAGAACUAUGGCCAACUGCCCUGGUAAUCAAUCACACAGGCCCUCAACAUAUCUUCAAGGGUCUAGAUGGUACGCUCAGACUGCCCAUCACUCUCGGGGUGGAAAGCAGUGCUAAAAUCCAAUCGAGUACCCAAAGCCUCCUGUAAACUCCUCCAGAAAUGUGAAACAAAUCGGGUGUCCCGAUCAGAAACAAUAGAAACAGGAACUCCGUAUAAUCGCACAACUUCAUCAAGAUACACUUGUGCAAGUCUUUCCCCCGACCACACGGUAUGAAUUGGAAUAAAGUGGGCAGAUUUAGUCAAUCUAUCCACAAUUACCCAAAUUGCAUCAUGUCCUGCCUGUGAGCGAGGUAAUCCAACAAUAAAAUCCAUUGUAAUCCUCUCCCACUUCCACACUGGUAUGGGUAAGCUUUGAAGUUCUCCCGCAGGAAGUCGAUGCUCAGCUUUAACCUGCUGACAGGUUAAGCAUCUGGCCACAAAAUUUCCAACUUUCUUUUUCAUUCCAGGCCACCAGUAAGUUGCCUUUAGAUCUUUAUACAUUUUUGUACUCCCGGGGUGUAAAGUAUACGGUGCCCGAUGUGCUUCAAUUAGAAUCUCCUCUUUAAUAUCUGGAUUUGCUGGUACACAAAGCCUAUCGCCGAAUUUUAUCAAUCCCUGAUCAUCCACUCGAAAAUCACCACUAUCAUGAUCAGCAGGGAUCUUUGCUCGAAUCUUUUGCAGAGACUUAUCUUGAGCUUGCUUUUCUUUAAUUCGAUCGAUUAGGGUAGGCUGCACUACUAAUGACAUAAGUCUCCAAGGCGUGUCAGGAGCUACAAUUUUCAAAUUCAACUGUUCCAUUUCCUUCAUUAACAGUGGUUGCAUCGUUAUCGACAUCGCCAAAUUUUUCGUUGAUUUUCGACUUAAAACAUCUGCUACAACAUUAGCUUUUCCUGGAUGAUAGAGGAUGGUCAAAUCAUAAUCCUUGAGCAACUCCAACCAUCUACGUUGUCUCAAGUUUAAUUCCUUCUGUGUAAACAGAUACUUCAAGCUUUUAUGAUCAGUGUAGACUUCACAACGCUCGCCGUAGAGGUAGUGGCGCCAAAGCUUUAAAGCAAAUACCACAGCUGCUAACUCAAGAUCAUGUGUAGGGUAGUUCUUUUCAUAAUCUUUCAAUUGGCGAGACGCAUAAGCAAUUACUCUGCCGUUCUGCAUUAGAACACACCCUAAUCCAUUCAGCGACGCAUCACUGUAAAUCACAUAAUCCACUCCAGUAACAGGCAGUGCUAGAAUCGGGGCAGUAGUCAACCGUUCCUUUAGCUCUUGAAAGCUUCUUUCGCAGGCUUCAUUCCACAGAAAUUUAGCUCCUUUAUGAGUCAAUCGAGUGAGAGGAGUAGACAUCUUUGCAAAUCCUUCUACAAAUCUUCGAUAGUAUCCUGCGAAACCAAGGAAACUCCGAAUUUCUGUGACACUAGUCGGCCUAGGCCAAUCUUUAAUCGCUUCAAUCUUCUUGGGAUCGACAGCUAUCCCAGCCUCUGAAAUGACAUGGCCCAGAAAUGCUACUUCUCGAAGCCAAAAUUCACAUUUCUUUAACUUUGCAAACAAUUUCUUUUUGCGAAGUACUUGCAACACCGUUCCCAAAUGACUUUCAUGCUCCUCGUCGCUUCGAGAGUAGAUCAGAAUAUCGUCGAUAAACACAACCACAAAUCUGUCCAAAUAUGGCUUGAAGACACGGUUCAUUAAAUCCAUAAAGGCUGCUGGGGCAUUUGUCAAUCCAAAUGGCAUCACUGUAAAUUCAUAAUGCCCAUACCGUGUCCUAAAAGCGGUCUUGGAAACCUCUUCAGGCUUGAUCUUAAGCUGAUGAUAACCUGAUUGUAAAUCAAUCUUAGAAUAUACUUUCGAUCCUUGCAGCUGAUCGAAUAAAUCAUCAAUUCGGGGUAAUGGAUAUUUGUUCUUGAUUGUGACUUUAUUAAUUUCUCGAUAAUCCACACACAAUCGAAGAGAUCUAUCCUUUUUCUUAACAAAUAACACCGGUGCUCCCCAAGGAGAUACACUCGGUCGAAUGAAACCCUUAUCCAAUAAAUCCUGCAACUGUGCCUUCAGCUCUUUCAACUCAGCGGGUGCCAUCCUAUAGGGUGCUUUCGAAAUAGGAGUUGUCCCAGGGACAAGAUCAAUCACAAAUUCAACUUCCCUAUCAGGUGGCAUACCCGGCAACUCAGCUGGAAACACAUCCCCGAACUCUCGCACAACUAGAAUAUCAUCAAUCUUGAUGGCUUCACCAUCACUCACAGAAAUGCUAGCCAGAUAGGCUACACAGCCCCUCCGAAUCAACUGUCGUGCUCGCGAAGAAUUAAUAGUCAUUGCGAAUAAUGAACUCUGACACCCCCUAUAAACAAACUCCUGUUGGCCCGGUUCCCUAAAGGUCACCGUUCUGUUCGUGCAAUUUAUGGUGGCAUAAUACUGAGUCAACCAAUCCAUACCCAAUACUACAUCAAACUCCCCAAGUUUGUGUAGUGCCAAAAGAUCUACUGGCAUAAUCCAGUCGCCUACCCUAAUUAGGCAGCGAGGGCAAAACUCACGAACAUCAAGGGUAUGGUGAGGUACAAUCACUCGUCCAGGAUGCAAAGUAGGUACUACCUGAAUGCUAUGCAACUCGGCGAACUGCCGAUCAAUAAAAGAAUGCGAAGCACCAGUAUCAAAUAAUGCACGAACAUGAAUAUCAUAAAGCAUAAUGAUACCUGCUACGACCUCCUCCGCUGCUGCGGCCUCCUCUGUCUGGGCGGCAUACAUGCGCCCACUCGAACCCUGUCGAGAACUCUCAGACUGUCGCUGUCCCGGUGGUCGUCUGUACUGCGAGGGUGCUGACGGGGUCCCCUGGCUCGGAGCUGAAGAUGCAGGGGCUGAUGCCGAUGAGGGUGCAGGUGAAGAACCUCUCGGGCACUCUGAACGAAAGUGGCCCUCCUGACCACAAAGGAAGCACCUGCCCCCACGUUGUGGACACUGUGGUGGAAAGUGAGGCCCACCACAAAUGACACAACGUGGCUGUCGACGACGCUCGGGUGCUCCACGGGGUGCUGAGGAACCUCGACCUCUCGACUGACCCGGCUGGCCCCUAGGAUAUUUCGGUGGUCUCCUGAAAGGUUGCUGACCACAGCUCUCUGCUGUUGGCCUCUUUCCUUUACUCCGAUCCACAAUAUCUCUUUCUUUCAUAAUCUCCGCCCCCUUUUCUACAAUCAAGGCCCGGUGUACCACCUCUCUAUACGUCGAUAGGUUUGACGCCUGGACUAGUCUGAAAAUCGCAGGUCGCAAACCUGCCUCAAAAAUCCGAGCCUUGUCUUCAUCAUCUCUGACCACAAAAGGAACACAGUGCAGCAAUCGGGAAAACUCUCGCUCAAACUCUGCUACUGUCCUGUCCCCCUGUCUCAGAUUUCUCAAAUCCCUUUCCAUCUGCCUCUUCACACUCUGUGGAAAAUAAGUCGCCAACAAUAAUUCCUUGAACCUGUUCCACGUAAUAGUGGACAAAUCAGUACGGGGAUCCUCACGAAUGUCCACCCACCACCUGUAAGCCUCGCCGUCAAGGUGGUGUGUCGCAAACCAAACUCGAUAUCGCUUCUCGACAAAUGUAUCAUAGAAUAACUUCUCCAUGUGCAUUAACCAUUUCUCGACCACCCAGUGAUCUGCUUUCUCCCCAUCAAAGAUACGAGGGGUGCAACGACGGAAUUCAUUCAAUUGUUCCAUCAUCCGCUCUCGCUCCUCAGCCCCUACUAUCUCUGGUAACACUGUCCUUGAUGCCGCUACAGGUACUGGUGGUGGUACUACUGUCUCCUGUCGGGUCUCCGCCCUCGGAGCUACUAGGGGUAUGUCAAGUACAGGUGACUGUGCUCUUAUUGUCGCAUCCCUGUCUGGUACUGUAGGUAUAGAAUCAGGAAUCUCUCUGUCUGUCGUCUGCCGCAGUAGUAAAUCCUCUAACCUCUUCAUUCUAUCCUCCUGUCGACGCGCAGCGUCCAUCUGCUGUCGCGCGGCCGCAGCCUGCUGAGCAACCAAAUCUGUCAGCUUCGCGAGCUGAUCCUGCAACUC
rnacentral:lncRNA from 1 species